UCCAAAACGUGUUACCAUGAUAAUCUGAUGAAGAAAUCGUGGGAAUAUUGAGGGAAUCAAAGGAUUGAAGAGAGAGAGUGUUCUUAUCGUUUUUUUUUAAAGAGAAGAAAUUUUUGAGUUCUUGCACUUGGGAAAAAUCUGGGCAGUAAAGAGCAUUGUAGAAUCAUUCUAGGGGAGGAAAUAAACAUUUUGAGUGUGAGAAAUACAUUUAUAAAGCCUCGGAUUGUGAUUCACCAUUUUUAUCCAAGAAAAUGCAUAUUCUUGGAUAAUUUUGGAUUUAAGUGUGUUCAAGAGUGUAUGGUGUGUGUGGUUGGUGAUAAACAAGCUUAGGGGACUCCAAUAAUCGGUUUUGACGUGAAGAAAUGGGCUGAAAUGGUCUAGAGCAAGAAAAACUAAUUUUGAGCUCCAUUUUUGGCGGUACACCGGACUUGGAGAAGAAGACUUCGGAACAAGGGGUUACGGACAUCUUUUUGGGCUGGGGUCUAUUGAUUUGAAGUUCUGGACAUAAGGGGAUCAUUUUCCAAGCAAGAUAAGGAUUGGAAAGCAGCAAAAGUCAGCCAUAGAGUCGCCGUCGCCGGAGAAGAAGACAAAACCGGCGAUAUUUCCGGCGAACCCGAUCUGGGUGUUUACUGAGGAGCUAGUGGUCAUCGAGGUGACGCAGCGAGUGGUUCGAGACACGUCAGCGGAAAACGCACUGUGUAAGGUAAGAAGAGUGGACAUCUGCGCAUAGGGUGUACGUUAUGCGUACAACCUUGUUUUCUUAUUUGUUAGUUAUGUAAUUAUAUUUGUGACCUGAAUUGUUGCAUUAGGUUGACUAGCAUGAGGAUAGUGCUAGAGAUUUUAGUUAGUAGACAUGCUAAGAGGAUAGAGUAGGCGUGCUACUAGAUUUUAGCUGCUUGUGUGAGUAUAGCACUUGCAGGAAUUAUCUUGGGUGUGUAUAACUCAUGAUAAUAGGAUGCCACCACGGAACUGCCGAGUGUGAGUACAGCGCAGGCAGGGCAACGAUGUCUCGAGGGAACGGCCGAGUGUGAGUACAGCGCAGGCUAGACUAGUAGCCACCGUGGGAAUGCCGAGUGUGAGUACAGCGCAGGCAAGGCAGAUUACAUUUCAUGUCCGAUCAACAUGACUUGUUAGUAUUUAUGUGUGUGAGUGUAACUCACAUUAUGUUAGUGUGAUAUGGUGUUUAUAUAUCACACGAUGAUUAUUGUGCUUAUGAUGUUUAUUUAUGUUUAGUUGAAAGUUUAUGUUUUCUGGUUUGGGGAGUUAUGUCCUACAUAGCUCUUCUUACUGGGCGUUAGCUCACGGGUACUCUGUGUGCAG